rnacentral:rRNA from 1 species
GACGAACGCUGGCGGCGCGCUUAACACAUGCAAGUCGAACGGAAAGGCCUGCUUUCCCUUGUGGAUUGCGGGUACUCGAGUGGCGAACGGGUGAGUAACACGUGAGUGAUCUGCCCCCAACUUGGGUAUAAGCCUGGGAAACUGGGUCUAAUUCCCGAUAGGACUGCAGGGUGGUGCCUGUGGUGGCAAACGAUUUUCUAGUGGUUGGGGAUGAGCUCGCGGCCUAUCAGCUUGUUGGUGGGGUAAUGGCCUACCAAGGCGGCGACGGGUAGCCGGCCUGAGAGUGUGGACGGCCACAUUGGGACUGAGAUACGGCCCAGACUACUACGGGAGGCAGCAGUGGGGAAUAUUGCACAAUGGGCGGAAGCCUGAUGCAGCGACGCCGCGUGGGGGAUGACGGCCCUCGGGUUGUAAACUCCUUUCGACCGCGAGGAAGCCACCUGGUUGGAAGGGUGGUGACGGUAGUGGUAGAAGAAGCACCGGCUAACUACGUG